GACGAACGCUGGCGGCGUGCUUAACACAUGCAAGUCGAACGGCAAGGCCCUGCUUUUGUGGGGUGCUCGAGUGGCGAACGGGUGAGUAACACGUGAGUAACCUGCCCUUGACUUUGGGAUAACUUCAGGAAACUGGGGCUAAUACCGGGUAGGAGCUCCUGCUGCAUGGUGGGGGUUGGAAAGUUUCGGCGGUUGGGGAUGGACUCGCGGCUUAUCAGCUUGUUGGUGGGGUAGUGGCUUACCAAGGCUUUGACGGGUAGCCGGCAUGAGAGGGUGACCGGCCACAUUGGGACUGAGAUACGGCCCAGACUCCUACGGGAGGCAGCAGUGGGGAAUAUGGCACAAUGGGCGGAAGCCUGAUGCAGCAACGCCGCGUGCGGGAUGACGGCCUUCGGGUUGUAAACCGCUUUCGCCUGUGACGAAGCGUGAGUGACGGUAAUGGGUAAAGAAGCACCGGCUAACUACGUG
rnacentral:rRNA from 1 species